AAUUAGGAUAAAAUUUAUUUUAAUUAAUUAAUCUACGGAAUAUAUAUAAAUUAAUUAAUUAUAUUUAAAGCAAUUCCUGUACUACUAGAACAGCAACAAAUAUGUCAGUCCAGUUUCCGAUGAGUGAAUCACUUGUUGAGACUAGAUUGGGUGCAUCAUUUGAUUGAAAACAGUGUUCUAAUGUAUUGUUAUGGUUAGUUAAUUAAUUGUCUAAUUUGGAUGCUGCUGUUAGUGGUGAGUUUUUCACUUACCCUGACUAAGCUGGGUGCUUCACCUAACUGAAACAAUGUCAUAGUGUAUUGUUAGCAAUAUAGUUUAGUAAUAGUAAUUAUGACAUAUUAAUUACUUAAUUAAUUUGAUACUGCUGUUAGUGGCGAGUGGUUCACUUACCUCGACUAAGUUGGGUGACUUUUAUCUAACUGAAAACAGUGUCAUAGUGUAUGGUUGGCAAUGUAAUUUAGUAACAGUAAUUAUGACAUAUUAAUUAAUUAAUUGCUUUGAUGUUGGUGUUAGUGGCGAGUGUUUCACUUACUCUGACUAAUUUGGGUGCUCCACCUAUCUGUAAACAGUGUACUAACUUAAUCUAACCAUCCCUAAUCCUCUAUAACCUCGCCUAACCCUGAAAGAAAAUGAUGAGUACUGGUUGAACCACGGCUUGCAUCAUUGAUUCCUGACGGAUGUCCAGUUGUCUCAAUUUUUAAACACAUAACGCUAUACACUCUAUUUCUGAUUAUUAGUACUUGCUACCUUGUACUUGGUAACACUGUUUAUGCAUGGGAUGUGUUUUAACCUGUAAUGUGGUUUUAUCAAUACAUAUUUGCUAGAAUAAUCAGAUGAGAAUCAUUGUCUAGCUUGGUUCAGGGUUCGGACGCACUUUUGUGCUAAUCUUUACUGCAAGCAUGAUGGAGAAGUGGAAUUGAUUCUUGCACAAGAUUUUGGCGAUGGCAAAGCAAGAAACCAAAGGCUGAGUUUAAAGACAUUGAUAAUUCAGGUUGCAGAUGCUUUGCUGUAAUGGAGCUGAUGAUGGUGCAGUUUUCCAGCAAGACGCAGAAACCAGUUUGACAAGAAGUCAAAGUUGAUAUAUCUGAGUAUCACUUGGCUGUGAACUUGGAUGUAUUAUUGCUUUUGGAUAUCAUGAACAAUCGACUUUCUUGUCGACUUUCUCUGAGAAGUGGUCUCAAACAUGUAAGAUAACUCAACCAAGGACAAAGAGAGUUGAAGGCAGGUGGCAAAAGAAUGAAUGACCUAGUCAGAAAAUAUGAAUAUGAUCUCUUGAAUAUGGAGGUGAAAAGUCAUACUCAUGUGCUAUUGUCAUGCAAACGCCAAAUACCAGCUAUAGAUGCUGUGAUCAAGUAUUUAUCGGAAAGUGAUGAUGCAGAGUCAACAGUAGACAAGGUCUCUCAAGUUGCUCUAUACAUGAUUGUAUGUGGCAAUCCAGCCAAACCAAGCCAUGUUAUUGGCAUCCGAGCUCAUCAUCAUGUUUGAAAUUCAGUGCAGCAACAGCAUAUGUCUUCCAGCGCUAUUGCUUGCUGUAAUUUAUGUUUUCAAUACAAAUUUUCCUCAAUCUUUAGCAACUUUUUACUGUUGCCUGGAGGCCAUGUUACUGGGAUGUAUUUCAGCUCCAGUGAUAUCUAAUUUUUUAGCUGGAUUGCCAUGAGGAACUUUGAUGAAUUGUGUUUUGCUUUUUUCUUAGUGCGUUGAUUCACUAGUUUUGGUUUAAAUGUUUAAA